GAUGAACGCUGGCGGCGUGCCUAAUACAUGCAAGUCGAGCGAACAGACGAGGAGCUUGCUCCUCUGACGUUAGCGGCGGACGGGUGAGUAACACGUGGAUAACCUACCUAUAAGACUGGGAUAACUUCGGGAAACCGGAGCUAAUACCGGAUAAUAUAUUGAACCGCAUGGUUCAAUAGUGAAAGACGGUUUUGCUGUCACUUAUAGAUGGAUCCGCGCCGCAUUAGCUGGUUGGUAAGGUAACGGCUUACCAAGGCAACGAUGCGUAGCCGACCUGAGAGGGUGAUCGGCCACACUGGAACUGAGACACGGUCCAGACUCCUACGGGAGGCAGCAGUAGGGAAUCUUCCGCAAUGGGCGAAAGCCUGACGGAGCAACGCCGCGUGAGUGAUGAAGGUCUUCGGAUCGUAAAACUCUGUUAUUAGGGAAGAACAAAUGUGUAAGUAACUAUGCACGUCUUGACGGUACCUAAUCAGAAAGCCACGGCUAACUACGUG
rnacentral:rRNA from 1 species